GAUGAACGCUAGCGGCAGGCUUAAUACAUGCAAGUCGAACGGUAACAGGUGUAGCAAUACAUGCUGACGAGUGGCAGACGGGUGAGGAACACGUACACAACCUCCCUCUUACUGGGGCACAACUCCGAGAAAUCGGGGCUAAUUCCCCAUAACAUUUCGAAAGGGCAUCUGAUUGAAAUUAAAACCCUGGUGGUAAGAGAUGGGUGUGCGUCUGAUUAGCUAGUUGGCGGGGUAACGGCCCACCAAGGCGACGAUCAGUAACUGGUGUGAGAGAACGACCAGUCACACGGGCACUGAGAUACGGGCCCGACUCCUACGGGAGGCAGCAGUAAGGAAUAUUGGGCAAUGGACGCAAGUCUGACCCAGCCAUGCCGCGUGAGGGAUGAAGGUCCUCUGGAUUGUAAACCUCUUUUAUUGGGGAAGAAAUGUCUUGUUUCUACGAGAUUUGACGGUACCUAAGGAAUAAGCACCGGCUAACUCCGUGCCAGCCGCCGCCGUAAAAC
rnacentral:rRNA from 1 species